rnacentral:rRNA from 1 species
GCAGGGGAUCGCAAGACCUUGCGCUGAUUGAGCGGCCGAUAUCAGAUUAGCUAGUUGGUGAGGUAAAGGCUCACCAAGGCGAGGAUCUGUAGCGGGUCUGAGAGGAUGAUCCGCCACACUGGAACUGAGACACGGUCCAGACUCCUACGGGAGGCAGCAGUGGGGAAUUUUGGACAAUGGGGGCAGCCCUGAUCCAGCCAUGCCGCGUGAGUGAAGAAGGCCUUCGGGUUGUAAAGCUCUUUCGGCCGGGAAAGAAUCGCAUAGGUUAAUACCCUGUGUGGAUGAUGGUACCGGAAUAAGAAGCACCGGCUAACUACGUGCCAGCAGCCGCGGUAAUACGUAGGGUGCGAGCGUUAAUCGGAAUUACUGGGCGUAAAGCGUGCGCAGGCGGUUUGAUAAGACAGGCGUGAAAUCCCCGGGCUCAACCUGGGAACUGCGUUUGUGACUGUCUCACUAGAGUACGGCAGAGGGGGGUGGAAUUCCACGUGUAGCAGUGAAAUGCGUAGAGAUGUGGAGGAACACCAAUGGCGAAGGCAGCCCCCUGGGUCGAUACUGACGCUCAUGCACGAAAGCGUGGGUAGCAAACAGGAUUAGAUACCCUGGUAGUCCACGCCCUAAGCGAUGUCAACUAGGUGUUGGGAGGGUAAAACCUUUUAGUACCGUAGCUAACGCGAGAAGUUGACCGCCUGGGGAGUACGGCCGCAAGGUUAAAACUCAAAGGAAUUGACGGGGACCCGCACAAGCGGUGGAUGAUGUGGAUUAAUUCGAUGCAACGCGAAAAACCUUACCUACCCUUGACAUGUUCAGGAGUCCGAAGAGAUUUGGAUGUGCUCGAAAGAGAACUGGAACACAGGUGCUGCAUGGCUGUCGUCAGCUCGUGUCGUGAGAUGUUGGGUUAAGUCCCGCAACGAGCGCAACCCUUGUCGUUAAUUGCCAUCAUUUAGUUGGGCACUUUAACGAGACUGCCGGUGACAAACCGGAGGAAGGUGGGGAUGACGUCAAGUCCUCAUGGCCCUUAUGGGUAGGGCUUCACACGUCAUACAAUGGUCGGUACAAAGGGUUGCCAACCCGCGAGGGGGAGCUAAUCCCAUAAAGCCGAUCGUAGUCCGGAUCGCAGGCAGCAACUCGCCUGCGUGAAGUCGGAAUCGCUAGUAAUCGUGGAUCAGCAUGUCACGGUGAAUACGUUCCCGGGUCUUGUUCACACCGCCCGUCACACCAUGGGAGCGGGUUCCGCCAGAAGUAGGUAGCCUAACCGCAAGGAGGGCGCUUACCACGGCGGGGUUCGUGACUGGGGUGAAGUCGGAACAAGGUA